rnacentral:rRNA from 1 species
AUUGAACGCUGGCGGCAGGCCUAACACAUGCAAGUCGCACGAGUGUCGGACCGGUGAGUAAUGUCUGGGAAACUGCCUGAUGUAGGGGGAUAACUACUGGAAACGGUAGCUAAUACCGCAUACCAUCCGAUUUGCCCAUAUGGGAUUAGCUAGUAUGUGUGGUAAAGGCUCACCAAGGCGACGAUCCCUAGCUGGUCUGAGCGGAUGACCAGCCACCAUGGAACUGAGACACGGUCCAGACUCCUACGGGAGGCAGCAGUUGGGAAUAUUGAACAAUGGGCGCAAGCCUGAUGCAGCCAUGCCGCGUGUAUGAAGAAGGCCUUCGGGUUGUAAAGUACUUGCAGCGGGGAGGCGUUACCCGAAGAAGAAGCACCGGCUAACUCCGUGCCAGCAGCCGCGGUAAUAC